UACGUAGGGUGCGAGCGUUGUCCGGAAUUACUGGGCGUAAAGAGCUCGUAGGUGGUUUGUCGCGUUGUCCGUGAAAACUCACAGCUUAACUGUGGGCGUGCGGGCGAUACGGGCAGACUGGAGUACUGCAGGGGAGACUGGAAUUCCUGGUGUAGCGGUGAAAUGCGCAGAUAUCAGGAGGAACACCGAUGGCGAAGGCAGGUCUCUGGGCCGAUACUGACGCUGAGGAGCGAAAGCGUGGGGAGCGAACAGG
rnacentral:rRNA from 1 species